AUUGAACGCUGGCGGCAGGCCUAACACAUGCAAGUCGAACGGUAACACAGAACAGCUUUCUGCUUUGCUGACGAGUGGCGGACGGGUGUGUAAUGUCUGUCAGACUGCCUGUUGGCGGGGGAUAACUCCUAGAAACGGUAGCUAUAACCGCAUAUCGUCCCAACGGCAAAAAGGAGGAGCUUAUCGCCCCUUGCGAUAGUGUGUGCCCCGAUGGGAUUAGCUAGUAGGUGGGGUAACGGCGCACCCAGGCGACGAUCCCUAGCUGGUCUGAGAGGAUGACCAGCCACACUGGAACUGAGACACGGUCCAGACUCCUACGGGAGGCAGCAGUGGGGAAUAUUGCACAAUGGGCGCAAGCCUGAUCCAGCCAUGCCGCGUGUAUGAAGAAGGCCUUCGGGUUGUAAAGCACUUUUAGUGGGGAGGAAGAGAGUCAAGUUAAUACCUCGGCUUAUUGACGUUACCCAAAGAAGAAGCACCGGCUAACUUCGUG
rnacentral:rRNA from 1 species